AGUGAACGCUGGCGGCAGGCCUAACACAUGCAAGUCGAGCGGCAGCGGGUCCUUCGGGCUGCCGGCGAGCGGCGGACGGGUGAGGAAUGCGUCGGAAUCUGCCUUUUUGUGGGGGAUAACGUAGGGAAACUUACGCUAAUACCGCAUACGACCUACGGGUGAACGUGGGGGACCGCAAGUCCUCACGCAGCAAGAUGAGCCGACGUCGGAUUAGCUAGUUGGCGGGGUAAAGGCCCACCAAGGCGACGAUCCGUAGCUGGUCUGAGAGGAUGAUCAGCCACACUGGAACUGAGACACGGUCCAGACUCCUACGGGAGGCAGCAGUGGGGAAUAUUGGACAAUGGGCGCAAGCCUGAUCCAGCCAUGCCGCGUGUGUGAAGAAGGCCUUCGGGUUGUAAAGCACUUUUGUCCGGAAAGAAAUCCUGUCGGCUAAUACCCGGCGGGGAUGACGGUACCGGAAGAAUAAGCACCGGCUAACUUCGUG
rnacentral:rRNA from 1 species